AAUGCUUGCAUUCACCGUAAGAAGUUGAGUGGCGGACGGGUGAGUAACACGUGGGUAACCUGCCUAAAAGAAGGGGAUAACACUUGGAAACAGGUGCUAAUACCGUAUAUCUCUAAGGAUCGCAUGAUCCUUAGAUGAAAGAUGGUUCUGCUAUCGCUUUUAGAUGGACCCGCGGCGUAUUAACUAGUUGGUGGGGUAACGGCCUACCAAGGUGAUGAUACGUAGCCGAACUGAGAGGUUGAUCGGCCACAUUGGGACUGAGACACGGCCCAAACUCCUACGGGAGGCAGCAGUAGGGAAUCUUCCACAAUGGACGCAAGUCUGAUGGAGCAACGCCGCGUGAGUGAAGAAGGUCUUCGGAUCGGAAAACUCUGUUGUUAGAGAAGAACACGAGUGAGAGUAACUGUUCAUUCGAUGACGGUAUCUAACCAGCAAGUCACGGCUAACUACGUGCCAGCAGCCGCGGUAAUACGUAGGUGGCAAGCGUUGUCCGGAUUUAUUGGGCGUAAAGGGAACGCAGGCGGUCUUUUAAGUCUGAUGUGAAAGCCUUCGGCUUAACCGGAGUAGUGCAUUGGAAACUGGAAGACUUGAGUGCAGAAGAGGAGAGUGGAACUCCAUGUGUAGCGGUGAAAUGCGUAGAUAUAUGGAAGAACACCAGUGGCGAAAGCGGCUCUCUGGUCUGUAACUGACGCUGAGGUUCGAAAGCGUGGGUAGCAAACAGGAUUAGAUACCCUGGUAGUCCACGCCGUAAACGAUGAAUGCUAGGUGUUGGAGGGUUUCCGCCCUUCAGUGCCGCAGCUAACGCAAUAAGCAUUCCGCCUGGGGAGUACGACCGCAAGGUUGAAACUCAAAGGAAUUGACGGGGGCCCGCACAAGCGGUGGAGCAUGUGGUUUAAUUCGAAGCAACGCGAAGAACCUUACCAGGUCUUGACAUCCUUUGACCACCUAAGAGAUUAGGCUUUCCCUUCGGGGACAAAGUGACAGGUGGUGCAUGGCUGUCGUCAGCUCGUGUCCGUGAGAUGUUGGGUUAAGUCCCGCAACGAGCGCAACCCUUGUUGUCAGUUGCCAGCAUUAAGUUGGGCACUCUGGCGAGACUGCCGGUGACAAACCGGAGGAAGGUGGGGACGACGUCAAGUCAUCAUGCCCCUUAUGACCUGGGCUACACACGUGCUACAAUGGACGGUACAACGAGUCGCAAGACCGCGAGGUUUAGCUAAUCUCUUAAAGCCGUUCUCAGUUCGGAUUGUAGGCUGCAACUCGCCUACAUGAAGUCGGAAUCGCUAGUAAUCGCGAAUCAGCAUGUCGCGGUGAAUACGUUCCCGGGCCUUGUACACACCGCCCGUCACACCAUGAGAGUUUGUAACACCCAAAG
rnacentral:rRNA from 2 species